CUCUGGCCACUGAGACAAUGGAGCCUUCAGAACAGCUGGGCUCUCAUGAACCAACAACAGUGAUUCUCUCUUUGCUUAGAAAAAUCAGAUGGCGGUGCCCAGUGGGGUUGGGUAUCUGGGGAAGCAAAUCCAGAGCUGGUUUAGUAUUACCUUUGGGCUCUAAGGAGGAGUCAGCAUGGUCUUCUCUGUGGGGUCCAGUUGGAUUUGACAGCUCUUUCAUGGAUGAGAGAAUCUUAGAGAUGGAAUAAAACUAACCAGCUCAUCCACACACAGAUCUGGCCCAAACUCAUGGUUUUGGUAGAAUGGAAGAUCCUGGAGGGGAGGCACCUUCUUAAUUUUAUAUCAAUUGAUGGAACAUCUGGCAUAUAGGAGGAUGCACAUUAUGAAUUCCUUCAACCUAUCCUCAGAUGGCGUGAACUUAUGGAACCACAGAGCUAAAGACAGAAGGAAUCUCAGAGAAGCCAUGUGUCCUAACCCUCUCCUCGAGCCCAAGUUCUUUGUCUUAUACCACAGGACCUCUCCAAACUGGAGUCCUUUGACCAUCCUCCCUCCUCUUCUCCAUCGUUUCUUAGCUCAUCUGUGUUCUAAAACCACAUUAAAGGAUAAUGUUUUUUUUUCUUUUAAA